rnacentral:rRNA from 1 species
UGGUCUGAGAGGAUGAUCAGUCACACUGGAACUGAGACACGGUCCAGACUCCUACGGGAGGCAGCAGUGGGGAAUAUUGGACAAUGGGCGAAAGCCUGAUCCAGCCAUGCCGCGUGUGUGAAGAAGGUCUUCGGAUUGUAAAGCACUUUAAGUUGGGAGGAAGGGCAGUAAGUUAAUACCUUGCUGUUUUGACGUUACCAACAGAAUAAGCACCGGCUAACUUCGUCCAGCAGCCGCGGUAAUACGAAGGGUGCAAGCGUUAAUCGGAAUUACUGGGCGUAAAGCGCGCGUAGGU